UACGGAGGGUGCAAGCGUUGUCCGGAAUCACUGGGCGUAAAGGGCGCGUAGGCGGCUCAUGAAGGCUGUGGUGAAAGUCCGGGGCUCAACCUGGGAAUGGCAUUGGAUACUGGCUCGCUAGAGUGCGGUAGAGGGUGGUGGAAUUCCCGGUGUAGCAGUGAAAUGCGUAGAGAUCGGGAGGAACAUCUAUGGCGAAGGCGGCCACCUGGACCAACACUGACACUGAGGCACGAAAGCGUGGGGAGCAAACAGG
rnacentral:rRNA from 1 species